rnacentral:rRNA from 1 species
UACGUAGGGUGCGAGCGUUGUCCGGAAUUAUUGGGCGUAAAGGGCUCGUAGGCGGUUUGUCGCGUCGGGAGUGAAAUCAUCUGGCUUAACUGGGUGCUUGCUUUCGAUACUGGCAGACUAGAGGUAUGCAGGGGAGAACGGAAUUCCUGGUGUAGCGGUGAAAUGCGCAGAUAUCAGGAGGAACACCGGUGGCGAAGGCGGUUCUCUGGGCAUGAUCUGACGCUGAGGAGCGAAAGUGUGGGGAGCGAACAGG